GUGCUCAUUUUGGCAGCACACAUACUAACAGGAGAAGAUCAGCAUGGCCCCUGUGCAAGGAUAAUGCGCAAAUUCAUGAAGCAGUUUUUU
ensembl:snRNA U6 U6 spliceosomal RNA